AGCGAACGCUGGCGGCAGGCCUAACACAUGCAAGUCGAACGAAGUCUUCGGACUUAGUGGCGGACGGGUGAGUAACACGUGGGAACGUACCUUUUGGUUCGGAACAACUCAGGGAAACUUGAGCUAAUACCGAAUGAGCCCUUAGGGGGAAAGAUUUAUCGCCAUUAGGGCGGCCCGCGUUGGAUUAGAUAGUUGGUGUGGUAAAGGCGCACCAAGUCUACGAUCCAUAGCUGGUCUGAGAGGAUGAUCAGCCGCACUGGGACUGGGACACGGCCCAGACUCCUGCGGGAGGCAGUAGUGGGGAAUCUUGCGCAAUGGGCGAAAGCCUGACGCAGCCAUGCCGCGUGAAUGAUGAAGGUCUUAGGAUUGUAAAAUUCUUUCACCGGGGACGAUAAUGACGGUACCCGGAGAAGAAGCCCCGGCUAACUUCGUGCCAGCCGCCGCGGUAA
rnacentral:rRNA from 1 species